CCCUGGGCCUUUAGAGGUGGUCUAGCAGGAGAGUUCCAGGUAUCAAUAUGAUUCACAACUGAAUUGACAUUUUUCUUUGUUUUAUGAGAAACCUUAUGUUGCGCAUCUGAUGGCUGGAAGGAUUGGUCUGCCGAAGGCUUUCUAGUCCCAAAUUCAAUUUAGUUACAUAGCUGGAUUUUUAAAUCAAAUUUUCCUCCUCUUUCACAGUAAUUUCUGAAGGAGAUGCUGUCAAUCCCCCGCGCCUGCGAAGCGCAGCGGCUCUAGGUCUACACUUCACAUUGUUUCUUUGCAGGUCGCACAGCAUUUAAAUCUGCGCCCGCAAUGCACAAUGCGCGCAUGCUUGUCUGCCAUAGGAAACUCCAUGAGCAAAAAAAGAUGGCUGAUUAUACAAGUGAUUGACAAAGGGCUUAAAGGGCAGUUCCUUGGUAAUUUAAUGAGAAUAUACUUAAACAACAGAGACUUGUCUGCUAGUGACAGUCUGAACAAGACACGGGCUCUUGCUGCUGGGAUUUGUUCAUGGAAUUUUCAGGUGCUCUCCUUUUCUCCCCCCAACAGGUGCUCUGCUGCGCACAGCAAACUGAAGCGCAUUGCUUUGGGGAUAAAGCGUCUCCUGGACAGAUAACCCUCUUCAGACCAAACCUCUCCUCCUGACAUUCUGUUCUGCCAUCUUGUAGAAAGAUGGUUCAUUUAAGAUUGGUUUUAAAAACAUAUUUAUGUCAUAAUUGGACUAGUUUUUUUUUGUUUUGAUUAUAAAAUUAGAUUUCUAUUAAUAUGCCAUUAAAGCUGUGUAUGUCAGUUUGGGUAAUUUCUAUUCUGAAACACCCCUCCCCCAGGAAAGAGGUAUUAUAUUAGUAAAGUGUAGUAUACCCUCCUCUUUAGGUCUGCCUGCAGUAGCCAGUUAAUGUUAGUUGGUAAUCUGCAGUGCACACUCAUUGAAAGAAACGGGUGUCUCCUCAACACUAAUCUGUCUCCCUUUUUUUCCCUUCCUACAGCGUUUGCUGCCAAUUGAUGGAGCAAAUGAUCUCUUUUUCCAACCACCCCCACUGACUCCUACCUCCAAGGUUUAUACUAUCAGACCUUAUUUCCCUAAAGAUGAGGCUUCCGUGUACAAGAUUUGCAGAGAAAUGUAUGAUGAUGGAGUGGGUUUACCUUUUCAAAGUCAGCCUGACCUUAUUGGAGACAAGUUAGUAGGAGGACUGCUUUCCCUCAGCCUGGAUUACUGUUUUGUCCUCGAAGAUGAAGAUGGUAUUUGUGGUUAUGCCUUAGGCACUGUAGAUGUGACCCCCUUCAUUAAAAAGUGCAAAAUUUCCUGGAUUCCCUUCAUGCAGGAGAAGUAUACUAAGCCAAAUGGAGACA
rnacentral:lncRNA from 1 species